AAAUUGAAGAGUUUGAUCAUGGCUCAGAUUGAACGCUGGCGGCAGGCCUAACACAUGCAAGUCGAGCGGUAGCACAGAGAGCUUGCUCUCGGGUGACGAGCGGCGGACGGGUGAGUAAUGUCUGGGAAACUGCCUGAUGGAGGGGGAUAACUACUGGAAACGGUAGCUAAUACCGCAUAACGUCGCAAGACCAAAGUGGGGGACCUUCGGGCCUCAUGCCAUCAGAUGUGCCCAGAUGGGAUUAGCUAGUAGGUGGGGUAACGGCUCACCUAGGCGACGAUCCCUAGCUGGUCUGAGAGGAUGACCAGCCACACUGGAACUGAGACACGGUCCAGACUCCUACGGGAGGCAGCAGUGGGGAAUAUUGCACAAUGGGCGCAAGCCUGAUGCAGCCAUGCCGCGUGUGUGAAGAAGGCCUUCGGGUUGUAAAGCACUUUCAGCGGGGAGGAAGGCGUUAAGGUUAAUAACCUUGGCGAUUGACGUUACCCGCAGAAGAAGCACCGGCUAACUCCGUGCCAGCAGCCGCGGUAAUACGGAGGGUGCAAGCGUUAAUCGGAAUUACUGGGCGUAAAGCGCACGCAGGCGGUCUGUCAAGUCGGAUGUGAAAUCCCCGGGCUCAACCUGGGAACUGCAUUCGAAACUGGCAGGCUAGAGUCUUGUAGAGGGGGGUAGAAUUCCAGGUGUAGCGGUGAAAUGCGUAGAGAUCUGGAGGAAUACCGGUGGCGAAGGCGGCCCCCUGGACAAAGACUGACGCUCAGGUGCGAAAGCGUGGGGAGCAAACAGGAUUAGAUACCCUGGUAGUCCACGCCGUAAACGAUGUCGAUUUGGAGGUUGUGCCCUUGAGGCGUGGCUUCCGGAGCUAACGCGUUAAAUCGACCGCCUGGGGAGUACGGCCGCAAGGUUAAAACUCAAAUGAAUUGACGGGGGCCCGCACAAGCGGUGGAGCAUGUGGUUUAAUUCGAUGCAACGCGAAGAACCUUACCUGGUCUUGACAUCCACAGAACUUUCCAGAGAUGGAUUGGUGCCUUCGGGAACUGUGAGACAGGUGCUGCAUGGCUGUCGUCAGCUCGUGUUGUGAAAUGUUGGGUUAAGUCCCGCAACGAGCGCAACCCUUAUCCUUUGUUGCCAGCGGUUAGGCCGGGAACUCAAAGGAGACUGCCAGUGAUAAACUGGAGGAAGGUGGGGAUGACGUCAAGUCAUCAUGGCCCUUACGACCAGGGCUACACACGUGCUACAAUGGCAUAUACAAAGAGAAGCGACCUCGCGAGAGCAAGCGGACCUCAUAAAGUAUGUCGUAGUCCGGAUGGAGUCUGCAACUCGACUCCAUGAAGUCGGAAUCGCUAGUAAUCGUAGAUCAGAAUGCUACGGUGAAUACGUUCCCGGGCCUUGUACACACCGCCCGUCACACCAUGGGAGUGGGUUGCAAAAGAAGUAGGUAGCUUAACCUUCGGGAGGGCGCUUACCACUUUGUGAUUCAUGACUGGGGUGAAGUCGUAACAAGGUAACCGUAGGGGAACCUGCGGUUGGAUCACCUCCUUACCUUAAAGAA
rnacentral:rRNA from 1 species